rnacentral:rRNA from 1 species
AGCAGCCGCGGUAAUUCCAGCUCCAAUAGCGUAUAUUAAAGUUGUUGCAGUUAAAAAGCUCGUAGUUGAAUUUCGGGAUCAGUACGCUGGUCGUGCCUUUGGUAUGUACUGGUGUCACUGAUUCCUCCCUUCUGAAGAACCGUUAUGCCAUUUAUUUGGUGUGGCGGGGAAUCAGGACUGUUACUUUGAAAAAAAUUAGAGUGUUUAAAGUAGGCUCGCGCUUGAAUACAUUAGCAUGGAAUAAUGAAAUAGGACGUUUGAUCUUAUUUUGUUGGUUUCUAGGAUCGACGUAAUGAUUAAUAGGGAUAGUUGGGGGCAUUAGUAUUCAAUUGUCAGAGGUGAAAUUCUUGGAUUUAUUGAAGACUAACUACUGCGAAAGCAUUUGCCAAGGAUGUUUUCAUUAAUCAAGAACGAAAGUUAGGGGAUCGAAGACGAUCAGAUACCGUCGUA